GGUGUGGUAGUUCAGCAGUAGAGCGCUUGCCUAGCAUGUGAGAGGCACUGGGUUCGAUUCUCAGCCCCACAU
rnacentral:tRNA from 1 species